GCCCGGGUGGCUCAGUGGGUUGAGCGUCCGACUUCAGCUCAGGCCAUGAUCUCACAGCUCGUGAGUUCAAGCCCCACAUUGGGCU
rnacentral:tRNA from 1 species